UUAUAUGAGAGUUUGAUCCUGGCUCAGGAUGAACGCUGGCGGCGUGCCUAAUACAUGCAAGUCGAACGAGUUCUCGUUGA
rnacentral:rRNA from 1 species